ensembl:lncRNA
GUUUUUUUUUGUUUUUUUUUUGGUGUUUUGGGGGGGGGGGAGUUGGCUGCUGUUUGACGUAACUGAUGGCAGCAGCAGCAUGAGCCAUCCCUUGGCAGAUUUACUUUUCCGAGAUGAAAACCUGCGUGGUUUAAAACUUCUGACUCAUCAAAGGAGCAAACAAAUCGGCCUCGCGUGAGGGCUCAGAAACACUCGCACGCUGUAGGACUCGGUGAGAGAUGUGACGGGGUUCUUCAAAAUUGUCUCGUAGGUGAUGGCUGCCGCCGUGGGGUUCGCGCGCCUCGAGGAGGAGCGGCUCCCGAGCGAAGGGGGAGCUGCUGCCUGGAGGCCUAGGAAAGAAUGUUUACUGAAGAAUAUUCCAAACAUUGCUGAUAAUGAGGCUCAAGAAGGUGAAUUCCCUGAUAUCCCUCACUAUGAAAAAGAUGCUAGCGGAUCUCCUGUUGAAUCUGCUCACUUCUGCCCCGAUCUGGAAGACUCGGAUGGUGAAGCAUCGAGUAUGCCUGAGGCUGCAGCGUUUCCUGAGCUUCAGACUGCCUCUGAGUAUGAGGUGGAGGACUGGGAUAAAGAAUUGGAGGACUCUGAAUUUACUCCUUAUGAUGGAGGCAGGACUCGGUGAUUUAGCCCACUGCCAACAGGGAGCUGCUGCAGGAGCUGGGAGCCAGCUCGGGGGGCUGAUGCCCUGCUGCAGCUCCCGCAGGGCUCCCGGCGCGCCGUGCAAGCGCUCUGCACCCCUCCAAGUCAUGCGUGACAGGCAAGUCAUCCCUUCGGCAACAAGACCUCUGCUGCUCACCCGCACUCCUCAAGCUGCUGUGCGGUGAAGGGAGAAGAGCACGUGCCCUGCGCUUUGCUGACUAAUGGCUCUGGGAGCUAAGCCUAACACCAGGCUGCAGGAAAUGCUGUGACCCGUGUUAAUUAGGAAAUCAGCCUAGAUGGUCGUGAUAGCCCGACCAUCUGGCCUUCAACUGUUGCACUGUGGGUUGGCUGUAACUCAUGCAAGUAUUUUAAUUUUGUUAUAAGUUAAUUUCCAAUACAGCCAGCUCACCAUUAGAUGUUAGAGGCCAGGAUAGCUCAGGUGCUGAAAGAAAUGAGAUAAUACAAGAACUGGGAAGAGUAAUAUGAAAUACCCACACAGCUCAGUGUGAUAUAAACCUAGCUGGUGCUAAUAAGCUCUGCUGGCUCUGCGGUGCAGCGCCGGACCCUACCGGGCUGCUGGCGCUCGUGCCUGCAGGAUUCAGCUCAGGUCUCACCAGCUUUAUUAACUCUGGCUCGACGCUGGCAACUCCUAUUCGGGCUGGCUCCACGCGUCGCGCUGGGGUGUCUGCGCCGCGCUCAUCCCGGCCUGGGAGCGGUGUCCCGGUGUCAGGAAUGUGGGACGGAGACGCUCCGGCUGCCUGCUGAGAGCAGCACAGUCAUGGCCGCGCAAACGCAGCCGUCCCGCCUGGAGGCAAACCAAGAGUCUCUCUCCGGGGCAUGGCUCAUCCAGAAGCCAUCCAAGGGAGACUGAAAUAGAUAAAAUACUAAUAAACUGUCUUGAAGUGUCCCUGCUAUCCGCUG